GAUGAACGCUGGCGGCGUGCCUAAUACAUGCAAGUCGAGCGAACAGAUGAGGAGCUUGCUCCUCUGACGUUAGCGGCGGACGGGUGAGUAACACGUGGAUAACCUACCUAUAAGACUGGGAUAACUUCGGGAAACCGGAGCUAAUACCGGAUAAUAUAUUGAACCGCAUGGUUCAAUAGUGAAAGACGGUUUUGCUGUCACUUAUAGAUGGAUCCGCGCCGCAUUAGCUAGUUGGUAAGGUAACGGCUUACCAAGGCCACGAUGCGUAGCCGACCUGAGAGGGUGAUCGGCCACACUGGAACUGAGACACGGUCCAGACUCCUACGGGAGGCAGCAGUAGGGAAUCUUCCGCAAUGGGCGAAAGCCUGACGGAGCAACGCCGCGUGAGUGAUGAAGGUCUUCGGAUCGUAAAACUCUGUUAUUAGGGAAGAACAAAUGUGUAAGUAACUAUGCACGUCUUGACGGUACCUAAUCAGAAAGCCACGGCUAACUACGUG
rnacentral:rRNA from 1 species